rnacentral:rRNA from 1 species
AAGAUGAGAUUUCCCAUUCCGCAAGGAAGUAAGAUCCCUGAAAGAUGAUCAGGUUGAUAGGUCUGAGGUGGAAGUGUGGCGACACAUGGAGCUGACAGAUACUAAUCGAUCGAGGACUUAACCUA